GCGAGAAAACUUUGCAAUGUGCGAAAGCACGACAAGGUUAAUCCGAGUGAUUUCUGCUAAAGAAAUCUUUUGCAAGUCAUAAAACCACUAGUGAAUAAGGGGUGGGCAAGUUCUGGUGUCAGCCGCCGCGGUAAAACCAGCACCUCAAGUGGUCAGGAGGAUUAUUGGGCCUAAAGCAUCCGUAGCCGGCUCUGUAAGUUUUCGGUUAAAUCCAUGUGCUCAACGCAUGGGCUGUCGAAAAUACUGCAUAGCUAGGGAGUGGGAGAGGUAGACGGUACUCGGUAGGAAGGGGUAAAAUCCUUUGAUCUAUCGAUGACCACCUGUGGCGAAGGCGGUCUACCAGAACACGUUCGACGGUGAGGGAUGAAAGCUGGGGGAGCAAACCGG
rnacentral:rRNA from 1 species